GCCGGCAUAGCUCAGUGGCAGAGCGAGGGACUCAUAAGCCCUAGGUCGCAGGUUCAAUCCCUGCUGCCGGCA
rfam:Parcubacteria (Jorgensenbacteria) bacterium GW2011_GWA1_48_11 TY23_C0001, whole genome shotgun sequence.